AUGUGGGGCAAUCUGUCUUAAGUAGGGGGAAAUUACUCUUAAAGAAAACAAAGGAAUCCUAGCGAGUUUUCCCUUCAAGUCAAGCAUCUUGU
rnacentral:pre_miRNA from 1 species